AAGUCGCGAUCGUAAUUUAGCCUAGAUCCGGUUUACCAUCCAGUAUUUAAACAGCACGAUUUGUUAUGUGUAGUACAUUGGAAUUGUUGCAAAUACAAGACUAUUGCGAGAAUUAUUUGGACGCUGUUUGUGGCAACCAUGCUGUUGUUUUUGUUCACACCAGGUGUUAUCGGCGAGUAUAUAUAGCCAUGCGUUUGUACGACGGUGUACGAGUAUAUCCCGGUGUGUGGAGUCGAUGGCAAAACGUACGACAACAUGUGCAAACUCCGAUGCGCAGGUGUUACGCUGGCUUAUAAAGGGGCCUGUAAAUACGGAGGAUACGAUGGAUGAGCAGUCAACGAUAUAAGCCUUCACAGAAGAAAAUAUGAAAAACUUUUUCUUAAUAAAUAAUUUCCAAUGAACAUUUCCGCGUUGUCGUUUACUUACUUAUAUGAAUGGCUUACGUUUCCAAAAAACACAAACAGUACAUGACAUGUACGCGAGUUAGUUUCAAUAUAUCAACUUGAUGUAUUAAUAAUGUUUGUGCAAUAAUAUGCAUAGCGCUUUACACAGUACAUAUUAUCUCCACAAUAAGCACAUAUUUACCAAAUUGUUUUUAUAACACAAAACAAACAGCAAUACAUGUUGAAACUGUGUUAGUUUAUUUUAAUAAAUACUACAUAU